rnacentral:tRNA from 1 species
GGAGGUUUAGCUCAGAUGGGAGAGUAUCUGCCUUACAAGCAGAGGGUCAGCGGUUCGAGCCCGUUAACCUAUUG